rnacentral:rRNA from 1 species
AAGCGCUGGCAACCAGACUCGAGCGCGGUGUUCCCCUUGGCUUCUGCCUUGGUUAUUUCACCGUGACCGGGCCAUCAUCAGUUUUGGGGGUUGGUUAAAGAUCUAGGGAAUGUAUCCUCUCUUUCGGGGGAGGACUUAUAGCCCUGGAUGUCAUGCAGCCUCCCGGGACUGAGGAACGCGCUUCGGCGAGGAUGAUGGCGUAAUGGUUGUCAGCGA